UACGGGGGGGGCAAGCGUUGUUCGGAAUUACUGGGCGUAAAGGGCUUGUAGGCGGCCAACUAAGUCCGACGUGAAAUCCCCAGGCUUAACCUGGGAACUGCGUCGGAUACUGGAUGGCUUGAAUUCGGGAGAGGGAUGCAGAAUUCCAGGUGUAGCGGUGAAAUGCGUAGAUAUCUGGAGGAAUACCGGUGGCGAAGGCGGCAUCCUGGACCGACAUUGACGCUGAGGAGCGAAAAGCAUGGGGAGCCGAACAGG
rnacentral:rRNA from 1 species